AUUUUUGGCAACAGUGUUUUAAUAAUAUUGACAGGAUGCCAGUCUGCUACACGGUAGGGAACAGAGAGGUUGUACGUGAAAUUUCUCGUAUUUAAGUAAAGUGAAGUAAAGUAAAGUGAAGUGAAGUAAAGUGUAAAUUAAGUGAGUGUGUAGUAAUAAUUGAGAAUUAAGGAAAAAAUUAAGUAUAAUAAAGUAAAAAUUAAGUAGAAUUAAGUAAGGUUUUGGUCGGCUAAAAUAGACUUUAACCCAACCCAAAAAGGAAAUAACAUUUUUAUGAAGAAAACUGUAAGGAAGGAAAAUACGCCGUACGUUAACGAUACCUUUCAAUCAACACAUCACAAUCAGUGCUACAAAAAAAUGGCGGCGGUCAUACGUAACGAAGACUUAUUGUUCCACAUCAGUAGUUGUAAAUGUGAACCAUAGAUGGCGAUGAAACUUGUCUUUUAGUCUGCUAAAAAAGAGUCAAAUAAAAUGUCUGCAAUUGUCAACCUACGUGUUUUCCGUAAUUUUCAGCAGUUUGUGUCAAUUAGACCCAUUUCUAAUUAUCCCACAUCAUUUCGCAAAAAAAAAGAAAUUCAGAAAGUGGAUGGAGAUGACGAAUUCCGUUCGCUGGAUCUGAGUCCCAACAAGCCGUUGAAUAUGAUAUCAUACGGACGCAAAGUAUACAAGAGAGCAGCAGUUCAUCCUCCACAUUCCAACAAAAUGCCAACUGAUGAAGACUGUAGACUGGCCCUCAGUUUCGCCAGUUGCCAGAUCUUUCCAUCCAGCUAGUUUCCCCCUGCCCUUGCAUCAGGACAAUGUUGUUCCGGGGGCAACACCACCCGGUAAAUUUGCCAAUGCAGAGUUGAUGAAGAUCCCCAACUUCGUUAGGUUAUGGCCGUCAAGCAGCCUACCAUCAACUUUUUUGUUCAAAAGCAUUGUAUUCUACUGAAUGUGCAAUCGAAAUGAUACAGGAGUCAUAAUUAUCUGCUGUUUGUAUUGGACGUGCUAGAUCACCAAUCCCAGCAUAGACCAAUCUCUCAUUUCAUCUUCUUGAGAGAAGAUUGGAUUAGUGAUUGGUGGUUGCAUUUAUCAUAGAUGUCAAGCACUUUGAUGACACAAAUUAUAAACAAGGAUUCAUCAUUAUCUGUGCUUUGUAUUGGACUUGCUCGAUCACCAACCAAAGCAUGAACCAAUCAAUCAUUCACUUCGUUAGAGAACCUUGGAUAGCUGAUCGGUGGUUUCAUGUGUAAGUUCACUUUUCAUGUCAUUGGACUUUCUUUGUUGUAGUCUCUUAUGUAUUUAAAGUAUUGAUCUGAACAUACUUCCAUCUAAUAUUUAAGAGACGAUUUCAAGUUUAUACUGAAAACUGUUUUAUAAUUGUUCUUUUAAAUUAUAGACAUCAAGCACAUUGAUGACACCAAUGAUAAACAGGUUUAUCGUGUAUGUUCGCGUAGUUGCUGUCCGCUGUGGUACUUUGUUGCAGCCUAUGCUGGUGAUAGAUCUUUCUGCAUCAAAUUCAAUUGGCCGUGCUGUUGUCGUGUUACCGUUAAUAUGUUAAGAAGGAAAACAAAAAUAUGGGGAUGUUUAUGUCUAGCAAGUAAUAAACAUGUUUUCGGGAUUGGGAAAGGAAAGUGGAAGAUGUUGGAGAGGGGGAUAUUUCAAG